UAGGGAAUCUUCGGCAAUGGGGGGAACCCUGACCGAGCAACGCCGCGUGAGUGAAGAAGGUUUUCGGAUCGUAAAGCUCUGUUGUUAAGGAAGAACGAGUGUGAGAAUGGAAAGUUCAUACUGUGACGGUACUUAACCAGAAAGGGACGGCUAACUACGUGCCAGCAGCCGCGGUAAUACGUAGGUCCCGAGCGUUGUCCGGAUUUAUUGGGCGUAAAGCGAGCGCAGGCGGUUAGAAAAGUCUGAAGUGAAAGGCAGUGGCUCAACCAUUGUAGGCUUUGGAAACUGUUUAACUUGAGUGCAGAAGGGGAGAGUGGAAUUCCAUGUGUAGCGGUGAAAUGCGUAGAUAUCAGGAGGAACACCGGUGGCGAAGGCGGGUCUCUGGGCCGUUACUGACGCUGAGGAGCGAAAGCGUGGGGAGCGAACAGG
rnacentral:rRNA from 1 species